rnacentral:rRNA from 1 species
GGUUUGGAAACCCUUGAGAUAGUGUACUGUGCUGAUCUCACGGAGGUAUUAAUCCGUUUGAGCCCUGAGCUUCAAGAGCAGGAUGAAAUUAAAGAAUUCCGUGAGCUGAGGCGCAUCCACCUGCAUGAGCUCCCCAUGCUGCAGCGCAUCUGUGGACGCAGGAUAUUUGCGCCUAAACUCGAGACCAUCAAGAUCAGGGGCUGCUGGAGCCUUGGGCGCCUGCCUGCCGUCGGACACAACACUAAGCCGCCCAAGGUGGACUGCGAGAAGGAGUGGUGGGACAACCUGGAGUGGGAUGGGUUGGAGGAGAACCACCAUCCUUCCCUCUACGAGCCAACCCACUCGUUGUACUGCAAGGCCCAGCUGCCCAGAGGCAUCGUACUCAGGUAA